CUUUGCAGCUUUAUCGCCCUGCAACUCACAACUGACAACCUACUGAUGCUAAGCAGGUUUGAGCCUGGUCAGUACCUGGAUGAGAGACCUCCUGGGAAAGCUAAGGUUUCUGCUAUAA
rnacentral:rRNA from 1 species